rnacentral:rRNA from 1 species
UACGUAGGGGGCUAGCGUUGUCCGGAUUUAUUGGGCGUAAAGAGCGUGUAGGCGGCCAUGUAGGUCCGGUGUGAAAACUCGAGGCUUAACCUCGAGAUGUCAUCGGAAACCAUUUGGCUAGAGUCCGGAAGAGGAGAGUGGAAUUCCUGGUGUAGCGGUGAAAUGCGCAGAUAUCAGGAGGAACACCAAUGGCGAAGGCAGCACUCUGGGACGUGACUGACGCUGAGACGCGAAAAGCGUGGGGGAGCAAACAGG